CACAUUUGCACAGAUGCUGCUGCUAUAGUACUUUCAGGCAAGGCCAAGGCUUCUUGAAAGGCUGGUCAUGCCCCAGUGAUCAAUGAAGAACUCAGGGAUAUCCCAAAACUCAGGACUAUAAGGCACAAUGGGGGAGCAGGUACCAGGUGGCCAGCAUCCUAAAUGACUCUCAGCAGCUGCAGAGAGGACCAUAAUGGAUGGAUAUAUAGGCUGACGUAUAUCAGUUGGCUUCAGUUGUUUGGUGAUAUUCACCAGAUCUAUAUUUUGCUAUUUUAUGGAUAUUAUUUUCAAUUUCUGAGUUUUGUCUUUUCCAGAAUGCCGUACAGUUGAAAUCAUACGGUAUAUAGACUUUGCAGGUUUUUAUGCGGACAUGUUUUUUGACUCCUUUGGGCAAAUACCAAGGAGCAAGAUUGCUGGAUCAUAUGGAAAGAGGCAUUACCAUAUCAAAGCCUUUAGCCUUCUUGCAUCACGACAAAAAUUCGAACUUGGUGUUUGAAGAACAUGAAAAAUGAGGAGGAAUAAAAUAAUCAUGAGUCUCCUGGUCAUUAACUGCAUGAAGUUGAGCUGGUCACUUAAGCCAUUCCUAAUAUGUAACUUGAGAGUAUAGUAUUAGAUAUUCAGUAAAUUCCCUUCAAAAUUCAUGCCCUUCCAUUACUCCAUGCACUGGGGAAGAACUAGAAUUGUGAGAAGAGCUUUCACGCUCCCAUAACCAUUCCUUGGCCCACCUCCAAGAAAAGGCAGGCUGGCCUCUGUUUAGGUGUUGUCUGUGCUUGCAUUCCCAACGUUGACAUGAGGAAUUAUCAAUGGGUUCCGGACAUAAUCAGCCACACGGCAGAGUGAAUUCCAGGAGUGUAAAUAACAAGAGCUGCCUAUAAAUCUACCUCAGAAGACAAAGGGAAAAGCAAAACUCUGCCCAGGAAGACCUUACUUUACAAACCAGGUGACCAAAUUUCUAAAACAUCAUUCCCGUAAUCCCUGAUCAACAGAAAGGAAGCUCUGGAAGCAUGAAUGCUCAACCAUAUUUACCAGCCUUCCUGUGGUCAUUUGUCUGAGCUCCAGCUAGUGAAGUAUGAGUAGAACGGACAUGCACCACUUCCAGACCUGGCACCGGCAAACCCCCCAUGGCAACCCUCCAACCCUUUCCUCAACAACUGGACCACGCUGGAAAGGACUGAGGAUCUAGAGGAGGACAGGGCUGUAAUAUGGAAGGAGUUUGGUUUCUGAAGGACCAUGUAGCAGGCCACCUGCAGGGCGGGAACAUCUUUAAUAGGUUUGGAAUAGCAAGAAAUAAACUGGUCUUGUAUUAAACAACUAA
rnacentral:lncRNA from 1 species